rnacentral:rRNA from 1 species
GACGAACGCUGGCGGCGUGCUUAACACAUGCAAGUCGAACGGAAAGGCCCUGCUUUUGUGGGGUGCUCGAGUGGCGAACGGGUGAGUAACACGUGAGUAACCUGCCCUUGACUUUGGGAUAACUUCAGGAAACUGGGGCUAAUACCGGAUAGGAGCUCCUGCUGCAUGGUGGGGGUUGGAAAGUUUCGGCGGUUGGGGAUGGACUCGCGGCUUAUCAGCUUGUUGGUGGGGUAGUGGCUUACCAAGGCUUUGACGGGUAGCCGGCCUGAGAGGGUGACCGGCCAUAUUGGGACUGAGAUGCGGCGCAGACUCCUACGGGAGGCAGCAGUGGGGAAUAUUGCACAAUGGGCGGAAGCAUGAUGCAGCAACGCCGCGUGCGGGAUGACGGCCUUCGGGUUGUAAACCGCUUUCGCCGGUGACGAAGCGGGAGUGACGGUAAUGGGUAAAGAAGCACCGGCUAACUACGUG